rnacentral:tRNA from 1 species
UGGCAUAUCUUCUAAAGGUUAGGAAACUGCUCUGAUAAGGCAGUAAUCUUGGUUCAAUUCCAAGUAUGCCAA